UAUAAGUGCAUCGGUAAGAUAAAGAACAUAUCCUGAACAAUUGUCGGCAUUUAUUGAUCUGUAACCAGUGUUGGAGAUGCAUGUAGGUGAUUUACAAAGAAUGGCAAGCAAUAACAGUCUGUACAGAUGUAGAGCUCAUGGCGGGUGUGACUAGUCAACGGGAUAUGCUUACUCCUCCUAGGCACCUGAUCCCUACUUCUGUGUCUCCAGGGAUCCGUGCUUGUCUUGUUCUCGAUAUGGUAUUGUUUAUGUGAUUUGGGUCCUUCUCGGAUAUUUGAAAAUAAUAAUGACAAUGAAGUUGUUUUACAUGUACAUCCCACAACUUAUGAUUUACCUGUCUAAGGUAAUAUACAUGAUAAUGGAGGUGUAUCGUCUUCCUUGUCUCCCAUGUUGAAUGAUUUGUCUCCCGUUGAAGGACAGACACCUGAUUUACCUGCCGAUACACUUGUAACAUCAGCCUUGUGUCCCGCAGUGAAUGAUUUACCUGCUGAUGCACCUGUAACAUCAGCCUUGUGUCCCGCAGUGAAUGAUUUACCUGCCGAUACACCUGUAACAUCAGCCUUGUGUCCCGCAGUGAAUGAUUUACCUGCUGAUGCACCUGUAACAUCAGCCUUGUGUCCCGCAGUGAAUGAUUUACCUGCCGAUACACCUGUAACAUCAGCCUUGUGUCCCGCAGUGAAUGAUUUACCUGCCGAUACACCUGUAACAUCAGCCUUGUGUCCUGCAGUGAAUGAUUUACCUGCUGAUGCACCUGUAACAUCAGCCUAGUGUCCCGCAGUGAAUGAUUUACCUGCCGAUACACCUGUAACAUCAGCCUUGUGUCCCGCAGAGAAUGAUUUACCUGUUGUGGAUAUAUCAUAAUUUUAUUUAUUCAAAAAUACGAUUUGUGCAAAUGAA